CCACUCUCAGGAUCGCACCUAGAGUGUUUCCAGUACACUACCAGUCUUGGCUAUGGGAGGAAGAGUCAAGCAGAGGCCUACCCAUUCCAUUCCUAGCUUGAGCAGUGGUUAGAAAGUGGAAGGCAAUCUGCAACAAAU